GACUUCCUAUUUCCCAGAGACCUCUGCGCUGCUGGUGCAUCAUGGGCUGGACGGCUCCGCCCUUUCCUUGGGGGCUGAUCCUACACCCUCGUCUUCCCUGGGAGCAGUCUGAGCUUCGCUCCACCCCUUCAUCCCCUCUCCCCGUCACCGCGGGGCUGCCCAGCCCCUCCUCCUAGCGUCCUCCCAGGGAGCCAGAAUAGAUACUAAGCAUCUGUUGGCAGACAGAAGAUGGCUAAAAGAUAGGCAAUUGGGUUAAGUGGCUUACCCAACAUCACACAGGAAAUGUCUGAGAUCCACACAGUUCCCAGCAAGAACACAGACUUUCUCCAUGACUCCAUAGGGCGAUAUGUUCCAGAGUAGGACACUUCUCAGCAUCAUUCCAAUGCAUCAUAGAGCUGCUUUGCUCAAUACUCCAUUGGGCUCUUAAAGAUUCAACUUCUAGUGCUGACUCUAAAACUGAAAAAGGGUGGGACCUUUGGGUUGAAGAUGAUUAUGAAUAGAUGAAAGAGGCCAGAAAGUCAAUCAUGGAUGUCAUGAAGAGGCACACAAAAAGACCAAAUGCCUGAUCUAAAUUUGAAAAUAUCAAACAAAAAAUAAAUGAAGCACCUAUGUAAAGAUAA